AAAUGCCUACGCCUAUUCCCGGAAGCCAACUACGCCGUAAAUUAGCUUGGCGAAGCAGUGCUCUGCGCGGCAGGCAGGCUACGAAAGAUGGUGUGUUUCACUGGUUUCUCCAAGACAGUCUAUGAUCUUCUCUCUCCUUAUGGCAAAAAUUACCUCGAUGUCAGGACCCUGACAAUGAUGGAAUGAGAAAUCAUGUCUUCACAUCAUGCUUUAUAUCAGUCAGAAAAAUAAUUACAGUCAAACAUUAAUUUAAAAAUACUUGAAGAGAUCUUAAAAACCCCUUUACUUCAAAUACCGAAGGAAGAAAAACAAGUAAUGCAAAAGGCAUUACAAUUGUAUUACAUCUUCUCCAUUAAAAAUAUCCUCCUGAAAUGCACAUAACCCUGCACUUCAUACACAGCUGAACAGGUCAUGGGAUUGUUCUCCCACUCCCCAUCCUUAGGUAACUGGCAUCUCACAGCAGAAAAAAGAGGCAGACCCAGACCUGUGCCUUCCUGCGGGCUACAAGGCAAAAUGGAGAAAUUAUACUGCACCCUACUACAAGCUUUAGGGAUGAAAAAAAUCCUCCUGUAUAGUGGAAAGUCCUCCUGUUGCAGCUACGUUGGCACACCAAAGACCCAGAGGAUUUCAGCCACGGCUGCCUGCAAUGAACGAGAUAAAAGGGUGGAAGUCUGAGACAACAGAGCAAAUCCAUGAAGAAACAAAGAGAUUUGUGGGGAAACACAAACACUUUUGUGCCACCUCAGGUGCCCCAACCCUGCUGUUACCGCCUUGGGACCUCUUCAUUAGGAUAAGUGAGGAAGAGCUGCGUGCUGUGCUCCAUUUAACACAUAGAGACUGUCGGUGUGACAGGGACCAGGCCCCAGCACAUAGCAUUGGGUUUAAUGAGCUGGCUUUGAACUGGCAGAAGGACCUCAGCUGACUUGACUGGAGCAGAGUUUGGGCCCCUGCCCCUGGGGCAGCAGGCAAUCUGACCUGCCCCGAGGGGCGCCAUGGUGGAAUUUCACAUCUAUUGACUCAGAGGAAAAUAAAUGAUUAAUCAUGUAUCAACACA